UACGGAGGGUGCAAGCGUUAUCCGGAAUCACUGGGUUUAAAGGGUGCGUAGGCGGCCUUGUAAGUCAGAGGUGAAAGCUUCCCGCUUAACGGGAGAACUGCCUUUGAUACUGCAAGCUUGAAUCGGCACGAGGCAGGCGGAAUGUGGCAUGUAGCGGUGAAAUGCUUAGAUAUGCCAUAGAACACCAAUUGCGAAGGCAGCCUGCCAGAGGCCCGUAUUGACGCUGAGGCACGAAAGCGUGGGGAGCGAACAGG
rnacentral:rRNA from 1 species